UCGGAUCAAAGCUACUUGCUUUUGUCAAAUUCGUAACUUAAAGUCCAUAUCCAUCCCUGUUCCGAGGCAAACAAAGUAGGAACAACUUUUAUUAGAAAAACAUCGGAUCUUGACGGUUUAUAUAUAUAUAUAUGUGUAGAUUAAAGAAAGUUGAUUUUUUUUUUUUUUUUUUUUGUUCAUACGGUAACAAAAUUUAACCUUUUACACGGAAAUACAUGAUAUCAUAGAGUAUAGCUAAAAAUAAAGGGGCAAACAAGAUGAACUUAUCAAUUAUUGAUGGUAAUAGAGGAAAGCCAGGGAAUCUUCUCUGCCACUUAUAUUAUCUCAUUUUUCACCACUCGACAUGUUUUACACAGAAUUCAAAAAAUGGAUCAAGCAUAAAAAUCAAGCUAAUCUGAAGAAGAAAAUAAGAAUUUAAGUUCUGGACAUAUUUUUAAAAAAUUAUACAGUUAAAUUAUCAGAAAAUAAUAUUGAUAAAUUUCUAUGAUAAAUAUGCAAUUGAUAGCAUGAAAAAAUUUAAUAGUUACAGACAUGCCAUCACAAGCUAAACUACAUUAAAAGGGCAACCCGGAGCUCUAAACUCCCGCUAUGCGAGGGGUUUAGGUAAAGGCUAGACCACAAGGGUUUAUUGUACGCAGCCUUAUCCUGCAUUUCUAAAAAUAACUGUUUUCACGACUCAAACUCAUAACCUCCAGAUCACAUGGCGGCAACUUUACCAGUUAUGCCAAUGCUCCUCUUCUAAUCUACAUUGAUAAUAUUGAAAAAGAAAACGUGUUCAGCAAGACUGUAGUUAAUUUAGUUUGGUUAAUUACUUUACUAUAAUUAGCUCCUACCAGUAAGAAGUGGCAUUGAAAGAGUGAUUGAAACCUGUCCUGAGGAGGGCGUCAAAACCAAGGUCGUCGGACUAUUGCUGAGCAGUUUUUGAAUAUCAAACAUAUUUCCUGAUAAUUAAUAUAUAAGU